UGCCAGAAGCCCAUCUCCCAAGGCCUCACACUUGUGCCUGAGAGAUGGAAGCAACUACACGACAGCAGUGGAAUUUGAACCCAGGCUCAUUGCAGCAAAUCUGCCCCUCCGUUGCCUACUGCGCGCUAUGCCCCUGCGGGCAAGAAAUCCAUCAUUAUCUGCGCCACGCCCCUGCGGGCAAGAAAUCCAUCAUUAUUCAUUUGGUAACAGUUUCAGUUGCAUCAAUGGUGUGUAGUGUAUACGAACGGCUUAUUGAUCUCAGACUAAACGACGACUACGACGAUGAUGAUAUGAAACUGAAAGCCAUGAUGACCUGCAUUCGUCUACUACAAGGCCAGCAAUAAAGACGGUACACAGCAUCUGCUGCAACGCCCUCACGGAAGCUUGGAAAUGAUAUUAGCGACAUCGAACAAGCUACAUGCAAAUCACAUGUUAGAUAUCCUUAAAAUGAAUACCACUGUCAUCAGUGUGGUGAUGCUGCUUAUAGUUGAUGAUCUUUAGUUUUUUCUUUUCAAUUUGAAGUGUAUACUAUACUAUCUUCAAUCUUCUGCUUCUUCAUUAAAUAUGGUGUUAUUGUUAA